CAGAAAGUGCAUAUUCUAUAAUUGAAGAAUUCAACCAACAGGGACGUCUCUAGGAAAUAAGGUCAGGAGUGUAACGGGAAGACAGAAAUGGCACUCAGCCUCGGCAAUCCUGGCCCUUCCCCCUCCCACAGUGACUUCCAUCAUCCAGCUGGAAGAUUGGUAGAGGAGUACAAACUCUAGGGAGGAUUUCUCAGCCAGGCCUACAAGAGGUGCCCAUUUCUCUGGCUGGUGCUCCGAGCCUUGCUGUCUGUGUUAGAGGGAAGCAUAUACACAGAAGCCACCUGUGAACCACGAUGGGCGGAGACCGAUUUGGUGCUCACAUGGUGGCUGCCUUCAGUAGACAGAUUUUGAUGAGUGUCCACCAAAUUUGCCUCCUGUUUUACUGCCUAUGAUUAUAUCAACUGUAAAU
rnacentral:lncRNA from 1 species